AAUCAACGCUGGCGGCGUGCCUCAGACAUGCAAGUCGAACGCUGCUGUUCGCCUUCGGGUGGACAGCGGAGUGGCGCACGGGUGAGUAACACGUAGGUAAUCUACCUUUGGGUGGGAAUAACAGCCGGAAACGGCUGCUAAUACCGCAUAAUGCAGCGGCAUCACAUGAUGACAGUUGUUAAAGCGAGGGAUCGUAAGACCUCGCGCCUGAAGAGGAGCCUGCGGCAGAUUAGGUAGUUGGUGAGGUAAUGGCUCACCAAGCCUGCGAUCUGUAACCGGCCUGAGAGGGCGGUCGGUCACACUGACACUGACAUACGGGUCAGACUCCUACGGGAGGCAGCAGUCGGG
rnacentral:rRNA from 1 species